UGACAUUCAGUGAAGUACCAGGUUCAAAUAAUUAGAAGAUUUUAAUUCAGGAUGAAGGGAAUAGGACAACUUCAUAUUUGGGGCUCCUGGAAGAUCAGAUGUGAAUACAGAUAUUAGAUCUGGAUCCGUGUGUACCGUGGGUCCCAUGGAGCAACCUCCAUAGUCAUUUCUCAGGCUCCUAAAUCAGGAGCUUCAAAGGUAACUCCUGGGGUGAUUUUUAGUGACUUUCCAUCAGUGUGGGUAUAAUUGACAUUGUCAAUUUUCCACUGGCUUCUUUGUAUAGUCUUCUGGUUUCCGGGUAUCCACUGGACUUGAGCUGACCCUAGACUGAUCUCAUGGCAUCUUUGGGGGACCUGAAUCAACAGCUUCCAGCUCAGAACAGGAAUCUGAAACAUAGCACCUACCUCUGAAGACACUAAACAAAAUGCACAAAAUGUCUAUUUGGACCAGAAGGAGCAUUUGAGACUGUCAGUGGCUGUCUUCAAGGGUUCAGAGAACUGAUGUGAUUCCCUCCUCUGCUAUAUUUCUGGAAAAGCAGUUCACCGACCAACUCUAACUAGAGGAAACUUGGGCUGACACUGAACAUUCACUUCGUGCUUUCCCAAAGCCUAAGGGAGCUUUGUGGAAGGGAGG
rnacentral:lncRNA from 1 species